UACGUAGGGUCCAAGCGUUAUCCGGAAUUACUGGGCGUAAAGCGCGCGUAGGCGGACCUGCAGGUCGGGGGUGAAAGCCCGAGGCUCAACCUCGGAACUGCCUUCGAUACUGCGGGUCUCGAGUCCGGGAGAGGUGAGUGGAAUUCCUAGUGUAGAGGUGAAAUUCGUAGAUAUUAGGAAGAACACCAGUGGCGAAGGCGGCUCACUGGCCCGGUACUGACGCUGAGGCGCGAAAGCGUGGGGAGCAAACAGG
rnacentral:rRNA from 1 species